rnacentral:rRNA from 1 species
UACGAAGGGGGCUAGCGUUGCUCGGAAUGACUGGGCGUAAAGGGCGCGUAGGCGGCGAUCACAGUCAGAUGUGAAAUUCCUGGGCUUAACCUGGGGGCUGCAUUUGAUACGUGGUUGCUUGAGUGGGGAAGAGGGUCGUGGAAUUCCCAGUGUAGAGGUGAAAUUCGUAGAUAUUGGGAAGAACACCGGUGGCGAAGGCGGCGACCUGGUCCUUGACUGACGCUGAGGCGCGAAAAGCGUGGGGAGCAAACAGGG